GUUGUCAUUGGCAGCACAUAAACCAAAACUGGAGCAUUACAGAGAGAUUUUCAUAGUCCCUGCCAAAAGAUGACAAGGACAGUUGUGACGCAUUCUGCAUUUCU